rnacentral:rRNA from 1 species
UACAGAGGUCUCAAGCGUUGUUCGGAAUCACUGGGCGUAAAGGGUGCGUAGGUGGCGUGGUAAGUCAGAUGUGAAAGCCCGGGGCUCAACCUCGGAAUUGCAUCCGAUACUGCCGUGCUAGAGUACUGAAGAGGUUACUAGAAUUCUCGGUGUAGCAGUGAAAUGCGUAGAUAUCGAGCGGAAUACCAACGGCGAAGGCAGGUCACUGGGCAGUUACUGACACUGAGGCACGAAGGCCAUGGGAGCAAACGGG